UGGUCAUCAUCAAGACUUUCAGAAUGCAGUUUUCUCAUCUGCCAUGGACAGGACCACGAAACACUUUCCCACUAGGUUUUCUCUCUGCUACGGUGCUAGCAUUCAGCCUACUGGGGACAGUU